GGGCGGCCGCCAUUGGCCGGGGGGCGGAGGGGAUCCAUCCUGAGGUGAUCUCCGCUGAGGUGAUCUCCCUCCUGGCCUCUGUGAGGGGGCAAUGUCCCAAGGGGCUGGGGUGAUCUACUCUGAGGGGACCUCCCUGAGGUGAUCUGCUCUGAGGUGACUUCCCUCCUGGGCUCUGCGAGGGGAGCCCGUCGUCCUGUUUGCGGGAGCAGUCGACGCCGGCCCCGGGGGCUGUUUCGCUUCCCGCGUUGGCCUCUAGCGCGUCAUUUUGCACGGGCGUGCAAAAAGACAAACUCUUUGUUUCUAGAGAAUAAGGAAGAUGCAUCAUGCCUGUCAUUGGUUCUUUUCGGAUGGGGAGAUGUGGUUUGACAUACCCCUUCUGCCUUGGUACUUGAGCAAAGCCUUUGGUGGUGUGCUCUGUGAAAGGGAUACUCUAAAUGGAGAGUCAGCUGAAUAGAUACCUCUCAUGACACAUGGAUGGUCAACAUGAAGUUGCUUUUUACAAAGAUAGUUGGAAUUGCCUUCAAACAAACAAGCAGCCAGGAUCAGCUGACACGAUCUUUCAGGCAUUAUGUGGAUACUAUUCAUGGCACAUUCACACUUUGUGCAGAUUUGGAAAUUCCUGUCACCAUCUUGUACGGUCCUCAAGUCCCUGUGUUCGAGGGCAUGAAAGAAAAAAGAGGUCAAGGAUUUGUUGGGGUUGGAGGCCACAUGACACAUCUUCUAUCGGUUGUAUGCCUAAUUAUGCAACUAAAGCGAUCCCUUCUUCAGGCACUUGGGAAGAAAAGGACUGGGGUGCCGCCGUUCCGUCAAAGCCCCUCUGCUGCACACUCCGAGCUGGUGCAUUUUGGAUGCUUGCAGACAGGAGGGAAGGACCAGCUUUACCAUCUGGAGGGAGUUUGCGGUCAGACACGCCUGUGCCGAGUUCUUCUGCUAAAACAGAAUCCCUAACUGGAGAGGCGCCCCAAAUCUUCACGGGGGAAGAUGAGCUGGAUUUCUGCAGGAGCGAGCUCCUCAUCAUCGGGGUUGCCUUGGCACAAGCUUGGUUGCCUGCUGACUUCAAGUGCAAAGGCAGACGCUCCGAACACCAAGAGGUAGAUGAGCACAGAAGCCCAGGGGAAGGUCCUCAGGAGGAGGUCUUGAUUAAACCAGGGCCCAUCCCCUUCAUAACUUUGCAUGCUCACAGAAGCUGCCUUGCACUGAAUUGA
rnacentral:lncRNA from 1 species